rnacentral:rRNA from 1 species
CACGUAGGCGGAUAUUUAAGUCAGGGGUGAAAUCCCAGAGCUCAACUCUGGAACUGCCUUUGAUACUGGGUAUCUUGAGUAUGGAAGAGGUAAGUGGAAUUCCGAGUGUAGAGGUGAGAUUCGUAGAUAUUCGGAGGAACACCAGUGGCGAAGGCGGCUUACUGGUCCAUUACUGACGCUGAGGUGCGAAAGCGUGGGGAGCAAACA